rnacentral:tRNA from 1 species
GUUUCCAUAGUGUAGUGGUUAUCACGCUUAAUGCUUAACACGCAAAAGUGAAAGGUCCCCAGUUCGAAACUGGGUGGAAACA